ACCUACGGGAGGCAGCAGUAGGGAAUCUUCCACAAUGGGCGAAAGCCUGAUGGAGCAACGCCGCGUGGGUGAAGAAGGUCUUCGGAUCGUAAAACCCUGUUGUUAGAGAAGAAAGUGCGUGAGAGUAACUGUUCACGUUUCGACGGUAUCUAACCAGAAAGCCAGGGCUAACUACGUGCCAGCAGCCGCGGUAAUACGUAGGUGGCAAGCGUUAUCCGGAUUUAUUGGGCGUAAAGGGAACGCAGGCGGUCUUUUAAGACUGAUGUGAAAGCCUUCGGCUUAACCGGAGUAGUGCAUUGGAAACU
rnacentral:rRNA from 1 species